ACUCCAGGGCUCAAGCAGUCCUCUGACCUUGUCGUCCAAAGUGCUGGGAUUACAGGCAUGAGCCACUGCGCCUCACCCAAAUUCUGAAACUUUCGAAGAGGUUAUUGAUCCUCUAAUAACCAGUCCCACCCAGGAACUUCUGUGGAAACUGAUAAAAUUUAAACUCCAGGCAUAAUGAAUUACGGGGUCUUGCUGUGUUGCCCAGGUUGGAGUGCAGUGGC